rnacentral:lncRNA from 1 species
AUGAAUUCUUGUGCGAGAGAUCCUUAUGCAAAGGGCUCUGUGCAUGAGAUUCUUGUGUUAAGAUUCCUGGUACAAAAGAUCCUCGUGCAAAGGACCCCUGGUGUGAGAGAUCCUCAUGCGAGUUCUUGUGCAAGAGAUCCUUGUGUUAAGGAUUCGUUGCGUAAGAGAUCCUUGUGCAAAGGGUUUCUUGUGCAAAGUGUCCUUGUGCAAGAGAUCCUUGUGCAAGAGAUCCUCUUGUGUCGGGCUCCAUGUGCAAGUGAUCCUUGUGUUACUGGUUCCUUGUGCAAGACAUCCUACUGCAGUGGACUUCUUGUGCAAGAGAUCAUUGCGUGCAAGGCUACUUGUGCAAAAGAUACUUGUGCAAAGGGCUCCUUGUGCAAGGGAUCCGUGUGCAAAGGACUCCUUGUGCAACAAUUCCUCGUGCAAUGGGCUCCGGGUACAAGAGAUCCUUGUGCAAAUGAGUUCUGGUGCAAGAGACCCCUGUGCAAUGGGCUCUGUGCAAAAGAUCCUCAUGCAAAGGGCUCACAGUGCAAGAGAUCAUUGUGCAAAAGUUCUUGUGCAAGAGAUGAUUGUGCAAGAGAUCCUUGUGCAAGAGAUCCUUGUGCAAAGGGCUCCUGGUACAAGAGAUCCUUGUGCAAAUAAUUUCUUGUGUUAAGGGUUCCUAGUGUAAGAGAUCCACGUGCAAGGGGCUCCUUGUGCAAGAGAUCCUAGUGCAAAUGGAUCCUUGUGCAAGACAUCCUCGUGCAAAGGGCUCCUUAUACAAACAACCCUCGUGCAAAUCAUCCUCGUGCAAACCAUCCUCGUGCAAAAGAACCCCCCUUUGUUUAAAUGGCUCCUCGUGCAAACCCCCCCUAGCACCACCAUAUCAAUGUGUGUGUGUGUGUGUGAUGCUGGCACCAGCUUUGCCCCCCCCCCACUUGUGCAAGACCCCCCCCCACACUUGUGCGAAGAAGCCCCACCACCACCUUG